rnacentral:rRNA from 1 species
UUUCUGUGACUAUCUCCAUUGCGGAGGAAAAGAAACCAACUGGGAUUACCUUAGUAACGGCGAGUGAAGCGGUAAAAGCUCAAAUUUGAAAUCUGGUACUUUCAGUGCCCGAGUUGUAAUUUGUAGAAUUUGUCUUUGAUUAGGUCCUUGUCUAUGUUCCUUGGAACAGGACGUCAUAGAGGGUGAGAAUCCCGUUUGGCGAGGAUACCUUUUCUCUGUAAGACUUUUUCGAAGAGUCGAGUUGUUUGGGAAUGCAGCUCAAAGUGGGUGGUAAAUUCCAUCUAAAGCUAAAUAUUGGCGAGAGACCGAUAGCGAACAAGUACAGUGAUGGAAAGAUGAAAAGAACUUUGAAAAGAGAGUGAAAAAGUACGUGAAAUUGUUGAAAGGGAAGGGCAUUUGAUCAGACAUGGUGUUUUUUGCAUGCACUCGCCUCUCGUGGGCUUGGGCCUCUCAAAAAUUUCACUGGGCCAACAUCAAUUCUGGCAGUAGGAUAAAUCAUUAAGAAUGUAGCUACCUCGGUAGUGUUAUAGCUUAUUGGAAUACUGCUAGCUGGGAUUGAGGACUGCGCUCGCAAGGUCUGAAGCUUUG